rnacentral:rRNA from 1 species
UACGAAGGGGGCUAGCGUUGCUCGGAAUUACUGGGCGUAAAGGGCGCGUAGGCGGACAUCUAAGUUGGGGGUGAAAUCCCGGGGCUCAACCUCGGAAUUGCCUUCAAAACUGGAUAUCUUGAGUUCGGGAGAGGUGAGUGGAACUCCGAGUGUAGAGGUGAAAUUCGUAGAUAUUCGGAAGAACACCAGUGGCGAAGGCGACUCACUGGCCCGAUACUGACGCUGAGGCGCGAAAGCGUGGGGAGCAAACAGG